GACGAACGCUGGCGGCGUGCUUAACACAUGCAAGUCGAACGGAAAGGCCUCUUUCGGGGGGUACUCGAGUGGCGAACGGGUGAGUAACACGUGAGUAACCUGCCCUUGACUUUGGGAUAACUUCAGGAAACUGGGGCUAAUACCGGAUAGGAGCUCCUGCUGCAUGGUGGGGGGUGGAAAGUUUCGGCGGUUGGGGAUGGACUCGCGGCUUAUCAGCUUGUUGGUGGGGUAGUGGCUUACCAAGGCGUUGACGGGUAGCCGGCCUGGGAGGGUGACCGGCCACAUUGGGACUGAGCUACGGCCCAGCCUCCUACGGGAGGCAGCAGUGGGGAAUAUUGCACAAUGGGUGGGAGCCUGAUGCAGCAACGCCGUGUGCGGGAUGACGGCCUUCGGGUUGUAAACCGCUUUCGCUCAUGACGAAGCUUUGUGUGACGGUAGUGGGUAAAGAAGCACCGGCUAACUACGUG
rnacentral:rRNA from 1 species